rnacentral:pre_miRNA from 2 species
AGCUGGCUGAAUCCGGGCCAAAUUGUUAUUCAUAGAGCAGCAUUUGGUCCCCUUCAACCAGCUGU